AUACGUAGGGGGCAAGCGUUAUCCGGAUUUACUGGGCGUAAAGGGUGCGUAGGCGGCCUUGUAAGUCAGAUGUGAAAGAUCAUGGCUUAACUGUGGUAAGCAUUUGAAACUGCAGGGCUUGAGUACAGGAGAGGAGAGUGGAAUUCCUAGUGAAGCGGUGAAAUGCGUAGAUAUUAGGAGGAAUACCAGAGGCGAAGGCGACUCUCUGGACUGAUACUGACGCUGAGGCACGAAAGCGUGGGGAGCAAACAGGAUUAGAUACCCUGGUAGUCCACGCUAUAAACGAUGAGUGCUAGGUGUCGGGGGUCAAACCUCGGUGCCGCAGUUAACACAUUAAGCACUCCGCCUGGGGAGUACGGCCGCAAGGCUGAAACUCAAAUGAAUUGGCGGGG
rnacentral:rRNA from 1 species